CGGAUUGGCAUGGGCGAAAGCCUGAUGCAGCAACGCCGCGUGAGCGAUGAAGGCCUUCGGGUCGUAAAGCUCUGUCCUCAAGGAAGAUAAUGACGGUACUUGAGGAGGAAGCCCCGGCUAACUACGUGCCAGCAGCCGCGGUAAUACGUAGGGGGCUAGCGUUAUCCGGAAUUACUGGGCGUAAAGGGUGCGUAGGCGGUCUUUCAAGCCAGAAGUGAAAGGCUACGGCUCAACCGUAGUAAGCUUUUGGAACUGUAAGACUUGAGUGCAGGAGAGGAGAGUGAAAUUCCUAGUGUAGCGGUGAAAUGCGUAGAUAUUAGGAGGAACACCAGUAGCGAAGGCGGCUCUCUGGACUGUAACUGACGCUGAGGCACGAAAGCGUGGGGAGCAAACAGGAUUAGAUACCCUG
rnacentral:rRNA from 1 species